rnacentral:rRNA from 1 species
GGAUGAGCCCGCGGCCUAUCAGCUUGUUGGUGAGGUAAUGGCUCACCAAGGCGACGACGGGUAGCCGGCCUGAGAGGGCGACCGGCCACACUGGGACUGAGACACGGCCCAGACUCCUACGGGAGGCAGCAGUGGGGAAUAUUGCACAAUGGGCGAAAGCCUGAUGCAGCGACGCCGCGUGAGGGAUGACGGCCUUCGGGUUGUAAACCUCUUUCAGCAGGGAAGAAGCGAAAGUGACGGUACCUGCAGAAGAAGCGCCGGCUAACUACGUGCCAGCAGCCGCGGUAAUACGUAGGGCGCAAGCGUUGUCCGGAAUUAUUGGGCGUAAAGAGCUCGUAAGCGGUCUGUCGCGUCGGAUGUGAAACCCCGGGGCUUACCCCCGGGUCUGCAUUCGAUACGGGCAGACUAGAGUGUGGUAGGGGAGAUCGGAAUUCCUGGUGUAGCGGUGAAAUGCGCAGAUAUCAGGAGGAACACCGGUGGCGAAGGCGGAUCUCUGGGCCAUUACUGACGCUGAGGAGCGAAAGCCUUGGGGGAGCGAACAGGGAUUA